UAAUUUUAUUAGCUUUUUCUGUUACUAAACCACCACUAAACCACUAAACCAAAGAAUGGCUACACAGCGAAAGCAAAUUUCCCGUAAACAUUGCUCCAAAGAGGAUAUUUCACAUUGUAUCGAAGCCAUUAAUACUGGGAUAACGGUUUACGCAAGCAGUAAACAGUUCCGGAUUCUAAUGUUCACUAUUGUCUUUAGGAGAAGCUGGAGAGAAAAAUGUAAUCCGGAUCACCAACUGGGCUAUCAAAAAAGAAGAGCAGCAAAUUGUCGACUGGUUGAAAGGUAUGCAGGAUCUGGGUUUUCCUGUUUUCCGAUAUGCACUUCUGCUUAAAGUUAUUGAGUAUCUGACAUCAAAUGAGCGGAUCACGCCGGAAUAAUCAAUCAGAGAAAUACACUUGACGUUUCAUGAUAUUAUGCUUCGCAAUCCCGAAUUUUCUAUCACACCAGAGGAAAUGCUCCUCUGGAAGAUUUUCUCAUGACGAAAUGAUAUUAGGUACCUUUACUUCCUUCUUAUAUAAUACACUACCGUUUCCAAAC